rnacentral:hammerhead_ribozyme from 1 species
AUGUAGCUGAUGAGCCCCAAAUUGGACGAAACGCUCGUCAUGAAU